UACGUAGGGGGCAAGCGUUGUCCGGAAUCAUUGGGCGUAAAGAGCGUGUAGGCGGCCCGGUAAGUCCGCUGUGAAAGUCCAGGGCUCAACCCUGGGAUGCCGGUGGAUACUGUCGGGCUCGAGUCCGGAAGAGGAGUGUGGAAUUCCUGGUGUGAGCGGUGAAAUGCGCAGAUAUCAGGAGGAACACCAAUGGCGAAGGCAGCACUCUGGGACGUGACUGACGGCUGAGACGCGAAAGCGUGGGGAGCAAACAGGAUUAAGAUAC
rnacentral:rRNA from 1 species